GGGCCCAGUCGCGUCGGGCCUCCCGAGGGGGCUGCGAGUGUCAGUCGGCUCUCCGCACGUGUCCGCGGCCUCGCGGAGCAGUCCACCCCUGGCUGGUUUCUGCUUCCACCUGCUGAUCUCACAGAGCACUGCAAGCUAUUUGGCAUAUGAAGGUCUUGACCUGAGAAAACCAUCUUGGAUAACUGCAGCAAGGAAAAGGAAAAAUGCAACACCUAGGAGAUUUCAGUAAACAGUAGAAUCAUGCCAACCUAAUCUGUGUUAAAAUGCUUGGAAUGUGGGAGCCGCUGAUGAUGCCUCUUGUCUGUGUGUCUGACUGAAUCCUUUCUUUUCUCAGAGCAGCAAAGCAAAGCCUGGGAACCAGGCCAAAUGCCUGCCACUUACCUUAAAUUGAUCAGCCACUUUGAGAUUAAAACCCCUGAAAGCUGCCACACCGUGAAAACAAGGCCUCCUUCACAUUAAAGGCAAAUUGCGACUUUG
rnacentral:lncRNA from 1 species